rnacentral:lncRNA from 1 species
UUAAGUGUCAAAGAUUUUAUGGGAAUAUCUCUUCAUUCUCUCACAGAUUUUAAUUUAGCGUCGUUCCCACACAACGUCUAUAAAUUGGGGCAUACGUCUCAAACAAAGUCUGUCUUAGUUUGUUACCCGUGCAAUAUGCAUUGGGACGUUGAUUUAUUGUGAUCAGUAUUUAGUGUCAGUAGAGUGAACUCAUAAUUGAAUUAUGAGUUCUAUUGUAUGGUCAAUUUUACGAUACGGUCAAUUCUAUCGUACCACCAACUAGUCUUCUUUGAGAGCCAUUUCUACUGCCCGGCCUUAUCCUUUGGGGCCAAUUCAACAGUACUGCCUAUAUUUGAGGGGCUAAUAGUCCGUUAUGUACCGUGUUCUGCCCUUUUUGCAGGCCAGAUUGAGCUUGACAGAUGUCUCACUUUGCCUAGUAAGUUAAAUUAUUAUCUGCUUACUGUGAAGAAGCAAUAAUAUGCCAAUUUUGUCGCGUGCGGUCUAGAUAAGACACCUGUUUUGUGUUUAUUUAACUGAAAAA